CUAAUACAUUGAGUCGCCCUACUAAGACAAUGAAAAAUUGUAACUAAGAAUGAGUGUAUGCUUUGCAAUUCUGUUAUCAUUUAUGAGGAAUUGUGAGACCACCCAUUGAAUGUUGAAACCCAAAUUCUUCCUCUGCUUUCUGAAGCAAUUCCUGGAAAGAACUGUGAUUCAGGUAUGCAAUUGGAACUACGUAUCUUUUCUUCUCUGUUUCUCCAACGUAAACUGCUAAAUGUCCUUUUGGUACAUCUGAUAUUUGAUUCCGAGUUACAACAGAGUGUAGUUUGUGAAAUUGCCUCAAACUAGAAAUAAUUGAUGGUAAACGAAUAAUACCCAUCACUAGAUCUUGAUUUUGAAGAUAAGUUUUGGUAUUAGAACUUGUUGAGAGGAAUAAUGCACUGAAGGUGUUUGAUGAUUUGACUGAAUUGUUCUAGUCUAUAUUUAUAGGGUUUGCCCACCUGUCUCAUGUGAUAAUGGCCCUACUUCACAUGCCUCAUCAACAAAUUAAAAUGUUUCCCUUUGAAUAACUAAGUCUACAAGUUGUUACAUUGUGGUUUGCUUGCACAAUUACCAUUUAUAUCCAUCCAAUCAUUUGAUGGACAAUCUCACCAAAAGUAAGUCACUAGUUUUUACUAAGAAAACAAGUUAGAUUUUGCUAGACGUCGUCGCACCGGGCUUGUCUAGAGUCGAUUAUUGCAUAGGAAUAGAGGUUUUUACGCUGUGCGCAUCCAAUGAAUAGUAACUGCGAAUUUCCCUUGUUAUUAAAAAAAAAAAAAGUGGAAACAAUUACUUUGAAAGUUUCUAAUCUUCUAUGAAUCCACUUGACUUGAUUAUUAUCUAGUCCUGAAUUUUGGAUGGCCAUAAACUGUCUGGUUUCCACUUUUCUCCCAUUGUUUCCACUUUGGACAUGUAUAUAUUAAAAAAUAUAUUGUUUGUGUCAAAAUAUGAAACGAACCAACAAACAAAUAAUUAUAUAUGUUGCUCUAUAAUUCUUUACUAGUAUCCAAUUGCAACUCCCAUACUGCCUUCUUGUCCUUGGGGUUGUGCAAAAAGUUGUGAAGUCAUUUAUCAUCUAAGCAUAUUUUUUGGUGCAAAUUCCUUUGCGGAAAUAACUGCAUGCCCACCUCUAUCUGUCUUGCUCUUGAUUUUUCAAAAAUAUGACAGCACAACAAAUUCUGCGUUUUUUCAACUUAAUUACAUAUAUGUUCCCAAACUAAUGGCUACUUGCAUGGAAGUAAACGAGUGGUAGCUUUACCAUUUGGUGAUCACCAUGCAUUUCAAUAUUGUGAAUUGUAUGAUACUCUUCUUACUUAAAAACUUUAAGUCGUUAGAGAGAUGUUUACCUUAUAACAAAAUCCUUAUUGUGUGGGUUCGAUUCUUUUUCUUAAUGAGCCAACCACGUUUCUUUUUUAUAAUGAUUUUGAUGUCACGUGUCCAAAAUAUCUACGUAUUUGAAUUUAUUGAAGUGUGAGAUCAUCUCAUUUGAAA